UGGCAGUCCAGUCAUCUGGAACCUAGUCAGUCUUAUUUCACUGUUUGUAGUGUGACUGUUGGCUGGCCAUGUGAGUACUUCAGCUUACAUUAUUUGUAAAAUCAAUGUGUAGAGUAAGCAUUGUGUAGACCUGCGAAGUUUACUAACAUUGCUCAUGUCUCUGAAAUUAUAUUCAUAAUCAGAAUUUGAAUAUGACUUGCCCUUGGCUUAUCUGAGUGUGUGUGUGUGUCUGUCUGUCUGUCUGUCUGUCUGUCUGUCUGUCUCUCGUGUCUGUUUUUAUUUGUGUGUGUAUAUUGCUAGAGAUGGAAGUUAGGGCCUCCAGCCUGCUCAGCAAGUGCUGUAUCAUUGAACUCUUUGUUAUUUACUAAAACAAAAGAAUGUACACAAUCAGACAGUAGCUGUCAAAGCUGAGGCAGGACAGAAUUAGGAAAGGUUAUAUUUGGUCUCUGUUGCUAAUAGGUUUUGACCAAUAUUCAGUGUUUAUUUUUUCAUGAGAAAUCACAUUUUGAGUGUUUCCUAAAUAAAUACACAAGUUCCGAAAAUGAUGACAAGAUACUUCAUCACCUAAACAGUUGUAGGAGUUGUAAUGCACUUAGGAGCGAGGACUACUAAGCGAUACAGCUCUCUGUAGAAGCUGAAGAAGUAGAGUUCAGCAGUGGCUGGCGCUGGUUCAGGACUUGCUGCACACCCUACAGACCUUGUUCAGAGCUGCAGGCUGUGGUGCAUGCCCACCCGUUGCCUCAGUGCCAAGAGAGGCCAGGACAAGAGGAUCCCUCCCUCCUACUUGCUGGCCAGCCAGCCUAGCCAACCAAUCAGAGGGCACCCAAGUUCAAUGAGAGAUCAUAUCUCAAAAAAUAGGAAGGAGAAUGAGGAAUCUGACCAACAUGUAACUCUGGCCUCUUCAUGUUCACAUCCACGGGUAUGUACACCCAAAUACACAUGAGCACAUGCACACAACCAAAUGACUUUAAAAAACAGUAAGACAAAGCCCCGCCGGGCAGCAGUGAUCACUGAAAGGUUCCGUUUGCCUGUUGUAAGGUGCUGGAGAUGGGACCCAGAGGCCUGAGGUAUGCUGGGCAUCACUGUGACAUCAUUAGCACAGUCUUUAUAACAUAAUGAGCAUCUACUGCAGAAGCAGGACUCGAGCAGGCAGUUAGAGCCGUGGCGUCUCGGGCUGCAAAGAUGACGUUGCUGCAAUUGGCAGUGCUGGCCGUUCUGUCCCAAGGCCUGGGUUCAGAUCCCAGCGCCCCACACCCAGAAGCCCACAGGUUUCUGUCACUCCAGCAACAAGGACUGUCUUGCCCUCUUCCGGUGUCCUGUGGCACAUGACAUGUGUGCACACAUACAUAAAUAGAUCUUUUUUAAAAACAAUUUUUAGAAUCUUAAAUGUAGUUUCAUUGCCCUUAAUGUUUUUUGAAGGACUGCAUGAAUGGUAUGUACAUGUGCAUGUGUGUGAAUUAGAAUUAUAUAUGUGCAUUUUUAAAAUUUCUUUACUGUCUUUUCUUCUUUCUGAGACAAUGCUCACUGUGUAUCCAAAGCUGGUCAGAUUUGUAAUUCUCUUACUACUUCAGCCUUCUAAGUGUUGGGAUUAUGUCCUAUGAAUAAAGUUUUGAUGAAAUAUGA